UCCGAUAAUAAUAGGUGCACCUAAGCAUAAUAUUGGGACCUAUUAGUAAAACUCCACUAAGAUAAUUAAAUUUGGGAAAACAGAGUGCGGACUUGGAAUCAGGGCGUUGAAAUACAUUAAGGAGGGUCUCGACAAAUUUUGUAAAAAGUCAACAGUCAACCCUAAAAAGUCAACCAAUACGCCGAGGUAGUCAAUUAUGUUAAAACUUUACAAUUUCACUAAAUGGAUGCCAAAAAUGGGCUUGGGGCGUCGGAAUUAGCCUAAGAAGGUUUCCAAGAACAUUUCAAAAAAGUCAACUAACUUUCAACAGUUAACUUUAACGGAAUAUUCCAUCAUCAGACAGAUUAUUCUGUUAAAGUUAACGGAAUAUUCUAAGAAAAUAUUCCCUCUAAAAUCUGAAAUGGACCCAGGUCGGUCCAGGUUAGGGUAAACAGGUCGUGGGCUUGGGCCUGUUCCAGGUUUUUUUUUUCCAGUCAGGUUGACCAGGUCCCUGUCGCGGGUCCAGUUGUCGAAAUCUGGGCAACGAUUCCAGAGGUCCAAACAAGCUCAAAACUCAACCAUUUUUCACACUCUUUCUACCAAAAUGAAGAAAAAUUAGUGUAGUAUAGGACUAUACCUUUUCCCAAGUUAGCCGUGGCCGGAGUUGGCCGGGAGAUUGGUCUGAAAGUGGUCUGAUGACCACAAUUUUCAUUUCCCGUAAGACUGGAAAAUUUCUCCCUAAUGUUGCUACGUUCCCAGGUUUUCCAAGACGACAUUCAUGGUUAAGUAGGAUUAGAUCGAGCUAUAAGAAAGGUUUGAGAAGUCUCGAAGCCUACCUUGGUCGUGGACGGAAGAAACUCACCAGAAGAAGUCAAACCGAUACAAACUCCUCCUUAGUCUGUACAUGCCCAGAAAGCUCAGUUCUCGAAUAGAGGUUGGUAACUGGUACUGUGGUGGUGGUUCAGUGGUCAGAGGGAUCGCUGGAGUGAUGAGGUGGUGUGGCGGUGUUACUGUUGCACCCUCUUGGUGCAAAAAGAUGAAGAUGAAAGACUUUGAGAUGAGAGAGUUUGAGAGUGUAGGGAGUAGGGUAAGGUGG
rnacentral:lncRNA from 1 species